AGUGAACGCUGGCGGUAGGCCUAACACAUGCAAGUCGAACGGCGGCACAGUAAGAGCUUGCUCUUACGGGUGGCGAGUGGCGGACGGGUGAGGAAUACAUCGGAAUCUACUUUUUCGUGGGGGAUAACGUAGGGAAACUUACGCUAAUACCGCAUACGACCUACGGGUGAAAGCAGGGGAUCUUCGGACCUUGCGCGAUUGAAUGAGCCGAUGUCGGAUUAGCUAGUUGGCGGGGUAAAGGCCCACCAAGGCGACGAUCCGUAGCUGGUCUGAGAGGAUGAUCAGCCACACUGGAACUGAGACACGGUCCAGACUCCUACGGGAGGCAGCAGUGGGGAAUAUUGGACAAUGGGCGCAAGCCUGAUCCAGCCAUACCGCGUGGGUGAAGAAGGCCUUCGGGUUGUAAAGCCCUUUUGAUGGGAAAGAAAAGCAGCAGGUUAAUACCCCGCUGUUCUGACGGUACCCAAAGAAUAAGCACCGGCUAACUUCGUG
rnacentral:rRNA from 1 species